AUGAAAGGUAAGAAUCUGGGGGUUCAAGCCUUGCUUUUGAAUAUAAAUCCUAGAGCUUUUUAUUCUGCAUGUGGGUGUCAUAGCCUUAAUUUAACACUAUGUGAUAUGGCCAAGACUUGUGGUAAAGCUAAGGACUUCUUUGGAAUCAUACAACGUAUCUACACAACAUUUGCUAAUUCCACUAAGAAAUGGAAGAUUUUGAAAGGUAAUAUAGGAGAAGGAUUGACUCUGAAAUCAGUCUCAUCUACUCGUUGGGAGAGUCGCAUAAAUAGUGUCAAAGCUAUUAGGUUUCAGAUUUCAGACAUACGAGAAGCUCUACUGCAAGUAGCUGAUGUCGAUAAAGAUCCUAAAACUAGUAGUGAAGCUAAAUCUCUAGCAAAUAAUGAACUUGGUGAUUUCGAAUUUGUAGUAGCGAUAAUCAUUUGGUAUGAUAUAUUGGCUGCAGUAAAUUUGAUUAGCAAGGACUUACAGUCAAAAGAUAUGCUUAUUGAUGUUGCCAUUGAAAAAGUGCAAGGCUUGAUUACCUUUUUUAAAGGUUACAGAGACACUCGUUUCACUACUGCAGUAGAAAUAGCAAGGGAAAUAGCACUCGAAAUAGAUAUCGACCCUGCAUUUCGGAAAAAGCGUGAAAUUAAAAGAAAAAAACAAUUUGAUGAGAAUCCUGAUGAUGUGUUAGAUGCUUCACAAUCUGCACAAGAGUCGUUUAGGAUAAAGUACUUCUUACCUGUUGUUGAUCAAGCUAUUGCUUCACUUACUACGAGAUUUGAGCAAUAUAAAUCAUACGAAAAAACUUUUGGUUCCUUGUUUACUUCUCAUGCACUAAACUCAUUGGAUGAUAAAAAUUUGAGGUCUUCUUGCAGUAGCCUUGAGACUGCACUUAGAAGUGGUGACAAAUCUAACAUUGAUGGUAAUGAUUUAUAUGUUGAGUUAAAGUUACUCCAAGAUUUCAUUCCAAAGGAAAAAAAAUAUGGGACCUAUUGA
rnacentral:rRNA from 1 species